rnacentral:ncRNA from 1 species
AAGAUUGCGUUGAAGGAAAAUAGUACUUAUCAAACUCGAUUUAAGCGAACCUAGGGUGGUGUGAGCUAGGGAAUCAAGAGAUAAGGAAGGCGUUCUGGAGCGAUACGGAUAAAGUGGUAAAAGGGGUCGUUAAUCCUUUUACAAAUAGGGUGGAACCGCGGGAGAACCUCUCGUCCCUAUG